rnacentral:rRNA from 1 species
UCGCUAGUUGGUUCUGACUAAUUAAAGUUCAGGCGGUAUAAGAUUGGUGUGUCGUUUGAUUAGGUAGUUGGUAGGGUAACGGCCUACCAAGCCGACGAUCAAUAGCUGGCGUGAGAGCGCGACCAGCCACACUGGAACUGAGACACGGUCCAGACUCCUACGGGAGGCAGCAGUAGGGAAUAUUGGACAAUGGGCGAAAGCCUGAUCCAGCCAUCCCGCGUGGUAGAUGAAGGCCCUCUGGGUUGUAAAUACCUUUUGCAAGGGAAGAAACUCUCCGAUUCAUCGGAGCCUGACGGUACCUUGCGAAUAAGCACCGGCUAACUCCGUG